rnacentral:rRNA from 1 species
AACAAACGCUGGCGGCGUGCCUAAUACAUGCAAGUCGAACGGGGAAAGCUUUCGGGUGAGUACUAGUGGCGCACGGGUGUGUAACGCGUGGAUAAUCUGCCUUAGAGUGGGGGAUAACUAGUCGAAAGAUUAGCUAAUACCGCAUAAGACCACAAGAACUGCGGUUCAAGAGGUCAAAGGUUUUUCGCUCUAAGAUGAGUCCGCGUAAGAUUAGCUAGUUGGUGAGGUAACGGCUCACCAAGGCAACGAUCUUUAACUGGUCUGAGAGGAUGAUCAGUCACACUGGAACUGAGACACGGUCCAGACUCCUACGGGAGGCAGCAGUAGGGAAUAUUGCACAAUGGAGGAAACUCUGAUGCAGCGACGCCGCGUGAGUGAUGAAGGCCUUCGGGUCGUAAAGCUCUGUCGCAGGGGAAUAACACAAUGAAUGUACCCUGUAAGAAAGGAUCGGCUAACUUCGUGCCAGCCGCCGCGGUAACAC